rnacentral:rRNA from 1 species
UACGAAGGGGGCUAGCGUUGCUCGGAAUCACUGGGCGUAAAGCGCACGUAGGCGGAUUGCUAAGUCAGGGGUGAAAUCCUGGAGCUCAACCCCAGAACUGCCUUUGAUACUGGCGAUCUUGAGUCCGGGAGAGGUGAGUGGAACUGCGAGUGUAGAGGUGAAAUUCGUAGAUAUUCGCAAGAACACCAGUGGCGAAGGCGGCUCACUGGCCCGGUACUGACGCUGAGGUGCGAAAGCGUGGGGAGCAAACAGG